AGUGGCAGACGGGUGAGUAACACGUAGCAAUCUACCCCAAAGUCUGGGAUAGCUAGCAGAAAUGCUAGGUAAUACCGGAUGCCCUCUAAGGAGGAAAGAUUCAUCGCUUUGGGAUGAGGCUGCGGUCUAUUAGCUAGUUGGUAGGGUAAAGGCCUACCAAGGCGACGAUAGAUAACCGGCUUGAGAGAGUGGACGGUCACACCGGAACUGAGACACGGUCCGGACUCCUACGGGAGGCAGCAGUUAAGAAUCUUCCGCAAUGGGCGAAAGCCUGACGGAGCGAUGCCGCGUGAAUGAAGAAGGUAGAAAUAUUGUAAAGUUCUUUUAUUAGUGAAGAUAAUGACAUUAGUUAAUGAAUAAGCCCCGGCUAAUUACGUGCCAGCAGCCGCGGUAAUACGUAAGGGGCGAGCGUUGUUCGGAAUUAUUGGGCGUAAAGGGUACGUAGGCGGUUUAGAAAGUCUUAAGUUAAAGACCACAGCUUAACUGUGGAAGAGCUUAGGAAACUUCUGAACUAGAAUCUAUGGAGGGGUAAUCGGAAUUCCUAGUGUAGGGGUGAAAUCUGUUGAUAUUAGGAAGAACACCAGAGGCGAAGGCGGAUUACUAGUCUAAGAUUGACGCUGAGGUACGAAAGCGUAGGUAGCAAACAGGAUUAGAGACCCUGGUAGUCUACGCCGUAAACGUUGCACACUUGG
rnacentral:rRNA from 1 species